AGCAGCCGCGGUAAUUCCAGCUCCAAUAGCGUAUAUUAAAGUUGUUGCAGUUAAAAAGCUCGUAGUUGAAUUUCGGGACCAAUCUGCCGGUCGUGCCUCCGGUACGCACUGGUUUUAUUGGUCUCUCCCUUCUGACGAACCAUGAUGUCAUUAAUUUGGUGUCAUGGGGAAUCAGGACUGUUACUUUGAAAAAAUUAGAGUGUUUAAAGCAGGCUCACGCUUGAAUACAUUAGCAUGGAAUAAUGAAAUAGGACGUUUGAUUCUAUUUUGUUGGUUUCUAGGAUCGACGUAAUGAUUAAUAGGGAUAGUUGGGGGCAUUAGUAUUCAAUUGUCAGAGGUGAAAUUCUUGGAUUUAUUGAAGACUAACUACUGCGAAAGCAUUUGCCAAGGAUGUUUUCAUUAAUCAAGAACGAAAGUUAGGGGAUCGAAGACGAUCAGAUACCGUCGUAGUCUUAACCAUAAACUAUGCCGACUAGGGAUCGGAUGAUGUUAAUUUUUUAAUGACUCAUUCGGCGCCUUA
rnacentral:rRNA from 1 species